GACGAACGCUCGCGGCGUGCUUAACACAUGCAAGUCGAACGGAAAGGCCCUGCUUUUGUGGGGUGCUCGAGUGGCGAACGGGUGAGUAACACGUGAGUAACCUGCCCUUGACUUUGGGAUAACUUCAGGAAACUGGGGCUAAUACCGGAUAGGAGCUCCUGCUGCAUGGUGGGGGUUGGAAAGUUUCGGCGGUUGGGGAUGGACUCGCGGCUUAUCAGCUUGUUGGUGGGGUAGUGGCUUACCAAGGCUUUGACGGGUAGCCGGCCUGAGAGGGUGACCGGCCACAUUGGGCCUGAGAUACGGCCCAGACUCCUACGGGAGGCAGCGGUGGGGAAUAUUGCACAAUGGGCGGACGCCUGAUGCAGCAACGCCGCGUGCGGGAUGACGGCCUUCGGGUUGUAAACCGCUUUCGCCUGUGACGAGGCGUGAGUGACGGUAAUGGGUAAGGAAGCACCGGCUAACUACGUG
rnacentral:rRNA from 1 species